rnacentral:rRNA from 2 species
GCAUGACUAGUAUAAGCAACUAUACAGUGAAACUGCGAAUGGCUCAUUAAAUCAGUUAUCGUUUAUUUGAUAAUACCUUACUACUUGGAUAACCGUGGUAAUUCUAGAGCUAAUACAUGCUAAAAAUCCCGACCUCUGGAAGGGAUGUAUUUAUUAGAUAAAAAACCAAUGUCUUCGGACUCCUUGGUGAUUCAUGAUAACUUAACGAAUCGCAUGGCCUUGCGCCGGCGAUGGUUCAUUCAAAUUUCUGCCCUAUCAACUUUCGAUGGUAGGAUAGUGGCCUACCAUGGUUUCAACGGGUAACGGGGAAUUAGGGUUCUAUUCCGGAGAGGGAGCCUGAGAAACGGCUACCACAUCCAAGGAAGGCAGCAGGCGCGCAAAUUACCCAAUCCCAAUUCGGGGAGGUAGUGACAAUAAAUACUGAUACAGGGCUCUUUUGGGUCUUGUAAUUGGAAUGAGUACAAUUUAAAUCCCUUAACGAGGAACAAUUGGAGGGCAAGUCUGGUGCCAGCAGCCGCGGUAAUUCCAGCUCCAAUAGCGUAUAUUAAAGUUGUUGCAGUUAAAAAGCUCGUAGUUGAACCUUGGGUCUGGCUGCUCGGUCCGCCUAACCGCGUGCACUGAUGCGGCCGGAUCUUUCCUUCUGGCUAACCUCAUGCUCUUAAUUGGGUGUGUUGGGGAUCCAGGACUUUUACUUUGAAAAAAUUAGAGUGUUCAAAGCAGGCCUAUGCUCGAAUACAUUAGCAUGGAAUAAUAGAAUAGGACGGCGGUUCUAUUUUGUUGGUUUCUAGAGCCACCGUAAUGAUUAAUAGGGAUAGUCGGGGGCAUCAGUAUUCAAUUGUCAGAGGUGAAAUUCUUGGAUUUAUUGAAGACUAACUACUGCGAAAGCAUUUGCCAAGGAUGUUUUCAUUAAUCAGUGAACGAAAGUUAGGGGAUCGAAGACGAUUAGAUACCGUCGUAGUCUUAACCAUAAACUAUGCCGACUAGGGAUCGGGCGGUGUUUAAAUUAUGACCCGCUCGGCACCUUACGAGAAAUCAAAGUUUUUGGGU